rnacentral:rRNA from 1 species
UACGUAGGGUGCGAGCGUUAAUCGGAAUUACUGGGCGUAAAGGGUGCGCAGGCGGUUUUGUAAGCCAGAUGUGAAAUCCCCGGGCUUAACCUGGGAAUGGCAUUUGGGACUGCAAGGCUGGAGUGUGGCAGAGGAGACUGGAAUUCCUGGUGUAGCAGUGAAAUGCGUAGAUAUCAGGAGGAAUACCGAUGGCGAAGGCAGGUCUCUGGGCUGACACUGACGCUCAUGCACGAAAGCUUGGGGAGCAAACAGG